GACGAACCGUGCGAACGUUGUUCGGAAUCACUGGGCUUAAAGGGCGCGUAGGCGGGCUAUCAAGUCUGGGGUGAAAUCCCACGGCUCAACCGUGGAACUGCCUUAGAUACUGACGGCCUUGAGGAAGGUAGGGGCAUGCGGAACUGUAGGUGGAGCGGUGAAAUGCGUUGAUAUCUACAGGAACUCCGGUGGCGAAAGCGGCGUGCUGGACCUUUUCUGACGCUGAGGAGCGAAAGCGUGGGUAGCAAACGGG
rnacentral:rRNA from 1 species